rnacentral:rRNA from 1 species
UACCUUUUGUAUAAUGGGUCAGCGACUUAUAUUCUGUAGCAAGGUUAACCGAAUAGGGGAGCCGAAGGGAAACCGAGUCUUAACUGGGCGUUAAGUUGCAGGGUAUAGACCCGAAACCCGGUGAUCUAGCCAUGGGCAGGUUGAAGGUUGGGUAACACUAACUGGAGGACCGAACCGACUAAUGUUGAAAAAUUAGCGGAUGACUUGUGGCUGGGGGUGAAAGGCCAAUCAAACCGGGAGAUAGCUGGUUCUCCCCGAAAGCUAUUUAGGUAGCGCCUCGUGAAUUCAUCUCCGGGGGUAGAGCACUGUUUCGGCAAGGGGGUCAUCCCGACUUACCAACCCGAUGCAAACUGCGAAUACCGGAGAAUGUUAUCACGGGAGACACACGGCGGGUGCUAACGUCCGUCGUGAAGAGGGAAACAACCCAGACCGCCAGCUAAGGUCCCAAAGUCAUGGUUAAGUGGGAAACGAUGUGGGAAGGCCCAGACAGCCAGGAUGUUGGCUUAGAAGCAGCCAUCAUUUAAAGAAAGCGUAAUAGCUCACUGGUCGAGUCGGCCUGCGCGGAAGAUGUAACGGGGCUAAACCAUGCACCGAAGCUGCGGCAGCGACGCUUAUGCGUUGUUGGGUAGGGGAGCGUUCUGUAAGCCUGCGAAGGUGUGCUGUGAGGCAUGCUGGAGGUAUCAGAAGUGCGAAUGCUGACAUAAGUAACGAUAAAGCGGGUGAAAAGCCCGCUCGCCGGAAGACCAAGGGUUCCUGUCCAACGUUAAUCGGGGCAGGGUGAGUCGACCCCUAAGGCGAGGCCGAAAGGCGUAGUCGAUGGGAAACAGGUUAAUAUUCCUGUACUUGGUGUUACUGCGAAGGGGGGACGGAGAAGGCUAUGUUGGCCGGGCGACGGUUGUCCCGGUUUAAGCGUGUAGGCUGGUUUUCCAGGCAAAUCCGGAAAAUCAAGGCUGAGGCGUGAUGACGAGGCACUACGGUGCUGAAGCAACAAAUGCCCUGCUUCCAGGAAAAGCCUCUAAGCAUCAGGUAACAUCAAAUCGUACCCCAAACC